GUCUGCUCUGGGACUUGGAACAAAAGGGGAAACUCUGAUGAACUCCUUCUCCAGCUCCCUGGACGCCCGAGUAUCUCUUUCUCGCAACUUUGUCAACGCGACUUUCUCCGCUGUCAGGCUGCGCAAAAGUAUCCUAGCGCCUCGCAGGCUGCAACAAUGGAAACAAUGUCCCUUCAAAGUGCGACGAAGUGGAGGGAGAAGGUGUCAUACCAGCGACUCCAAGAGUCAUGUCACCCACUUAGCAGGAGUACUUCUACUGAAAUGCCUUCGAAUUUCUCUUACUGGAUAUAUACCUACCAGCCGCUAGCAUGAAGAUGCCAGGACCGCUGCAAGUUAGCACUGGACAAAGUAGCAUCAACUUCUUCAUUUAGAGUUUCUUCAGUUAAAUUGCUGGGAUUUUCGACAAGGCUUUCCUUAUGUGGAUUAUUGGAGUGUGAUGCCCGAGAAUUCUCUACUUGUAGAAGCACGCCCACGGGACUGCAGAAGCCUUCACACCCACCCAGCACGCUCAGAUGGGAAUGAGUGAUGGCCAUCCAGUGACCAGCUGGAUCUGACUGCCUUACAAGA
ensembl:processed_transcript